UGCCAAUAUGGAUUUGCUAGAGUC
rnacentral:siRNA from 1 species